rnacentral:lncRNA from 1 species
AUGCACUGUUCCUCCACCGCUGUGGUCAAUGAUUUCCAAAAUCAGGCCAGCCCUUAGACCUAUACCAUGUGACUUUCUGUAAAGCAGAGGUUUGGCUUAUUACUUGGUUAGCUGAGUGGACAAAGCUCUAGUCGUUCAACCCUGAACACAGGUCUGUCUGAACACAGGCAACUGAGCAGAUAAUUUUGUAGAUUCUCUAGUUCUGUAGGAAGUGUCCAAAGUGGAUAUAACAAGCUAACUAUGUGAUCAGAUGACAGAAAGACCCUAAUUAGAAGGACACCCAUGGACCAGCACCUGUAAAAGAGAAGAAACUUGCCAAAGUGAGCAAGGGUAGAUGCCACACAUGGAAGGCAAGCAGGUGCAGCAGGACCAACGUCUCCGACCUAGAUGAUGAGCCAGCCUGCAUGGAAGAGGUUGACUACACUUCAGAUGGCAGCUCAGACCAGGAUGAGAGCAUCCUUGAGCUGGACCGGCAGAUCCAGGCAUGUGCCUUCAAUCAGGAUGAGGGAGAAGAAGAGGAGGGGACAAGGCAGAGAAGAAACACCAUCCUGUAAUCCUGAGGUUCAUAGAAACUCUGUUUCCAGUCACUGGACUCAGACACACACAGCGUGAAAUGGCCUGUGUGAGCUCCUGAUUUCAUUCUAGUUCUACUAUGCAUAGAGUCUGGUUACUUCUCGAUUAUAACAUUUUUCUACACUGCUGUACUGCCCUUGGAGCCUAUACAUGCUGCCGUUGCAAUUAGAAUGGGACUCCAUGGUAUGGGAUUACCAUGGGGCCUCUCCAGACAGCACUGAGCUCCCCUGCAUUCCUGUGCUUGAAGCUGAAGCUGGCUGGAAGCAGAGGAGUGGGCUUUCUUCCUGGUUUCUCAAUCAGAAAUCUAUAUGCCUUUAAAUUGUUCCAUAUAUGAGUGUUACAUCAACCAUAGCAUCUGAGCUUUCCAGCACCAACAUAAGCCACUGAAACUCUGAGGGUCCUGGAAGGGUCAGAAAGUAUUGGAUGAUUGAACAUAGAAGGCUGUGCAGUCAGGUAAUUGCAAAUAUCAUCCUGCAGGUCUGUAACAGUAUACAUUUUAUGGAUUUGGUAGAGGCCAGAAGCUCGGUUAGAUUCUAUGGAAUAAGACAUGAUCACUGGUCCUCGCAAAUUUCAAAACCCUACAUAUUCAGGCCAUUAAACACACUCGGGAAGACAGCGUGAUACCCUGGAAAAUGCAUUCAUUUCAGAAUCAGACAGACAAAUGAGGUUUGUAUCCUGGAUCUGGCAUUGCCUGUUAUGAAAAUGUAGGCAAGUAAUUGGAUCUCUCCAAACUUCAGAGUUUUUAUGCAUCCAGUAAGAAUGAGUGUAUGUAUACCAUGAAGUUAUCCCAAAGAUGAAAUGAGAUAUAAAAGUGUGCAGCUUGGCACAUGCUACACAAUAGUGUUGGCUUUUUCCCCUCCACAACACAAAGGUAUUAUAUGUAAGUAGUCUCACAGUUACACACAAAAAAAUGUUCUCUGGGGCCACAUGAUUGAGAAAUAUUCUUUCUCGAAGGGAUCUGGAAAGGAAGUUACAUGGAGGAAGAGCCUAGGUGAGUGAAUGGCUUGAGAGUCUGUGUGCAGAAGGAAGCAUCUCAGAAACAUGAUUGCUGAGGUUAGGGAGGUAGAUAGAAGGGGGACAAUGAUGAGGAGUAUAUUCUAAGUCAAAUACGAGUCUGUUCAAUGCCAUAUGUAUUUAAUCAGGAUUGGAUUUGGCUAUGAGAGAUGGAAAAUUCAAAAUACUAGUAGCUUUGGCAAGGUAUAAGUUUUCUUUCAUACAGAAUUUCACAUGUACAGAGGCCAGAGCUGGUACCUUGGCUGCAUUAUGUCAGAGACCCAGCUUCUAGUCCUCUAGCUCUGCCGUGUGUUGCUUCUAUUCUUGACCUAGAAUUGCUGCAAAAGCAUCAGCUUUUCUCUCUGCAUCCCAGAGAGCAGCAAAAAGAAUACCAAAAAAGAACAUGUUUCCUACUUUGGAAAAAAUCUAUGCAUGGUAUUUGUGCUUGAUCCCACCAACCAGAAAGUUGUCCAAUGACCACAGGUAACUGCAGGGGAGGUCCGAAAAUAUAGCCUUUAUCUGAGAUGGGCCCAGCUGAAAUUUAAAGUUUUAAUGCUAAGGGAAUUGGAAAUAAAAUAGUGUAUACUGGGUGAUCACGUACUUGAAAAAGAGAGUUUGCCUAGCAUACCACCACCCAAAGAGUUUUGAAGCUUUAAAAUAAUUCCAGAGAAUAUGUAUAGUGUUCGCUUGCUCUGAUCAGCAGAAAGAUACAGAGCAAAAGUUUGCCAUAGUUUAAGCAUAAGACAUAAGAGAAAAGCAUGUGUGUUGUGAUUUUGAUUUAGGGAAUUGAUAUUAUUACUUGAUAUUACUUGAUAUUAUAUUAUCUCUGCUGUUUCCUAUUCUUUUUCAGAGUUUCUGGUGUAGCUCAGAAAUUACACACCUAUCCUUCAUAUUAAGACAUUCAGAUUUCUAUGACAUACACAAGAGGUUUGAAGGAAAUAACAAAUCUGAAUUCAGAUCCCAAAGUAACAGCAUCUUUUAACUUCUCCUUUAUACAUUUUUGCCAAUUUUGAAUAGAGAAAUACAUAAUGCUCCUGGUUCUCCAUUGCUUUGAGGAGUUAUGAAAAAAAUAUUGCUGAAAUGUAAAUGCUGGAAAGGGGUGGGAACAAUACUAACUCGCUAUCAGCAAGUAAUACCUCAGCCCAAAUUAAUUUAUGAGAUUAAUUUGUGAUCAACUAGCACAGUUAUGAGAAAAAAGGGAGAAAAGCAGGUGAGUUUCAAUAUAGAAACUUCUGAAAAAAUCAGACACUUGGAACACUUAUUGAUUUAUCUAUACAACAAAGGUAUAUUAAUUGCCCACUGUGUGUCCUGCACUUUUUUAAGCUCUAAGAAUUUAGAGAAAGAAGAUUUACUAUGAACUCAAGUUACUGUAACUUGAUAAGUAAGAAUAGCAAGUAUUUUAUUUUAAGAUAGGGACAUAUAACAUUAUGGGAAUCUGAAAAUGAUAAUAUGGAAAACCCUUAAGAUUGUGGUGGCAAAAGUCUACUAGAAGAUGAAAAUGUAGAUGACAUGUUCAGAAGUUUCAGGCAGGACAUGUUAAGAAAUAGAGAAAGCUUGAAUAGAGGACCUGUGGUAAGGUUAGGACAUGGACUAAAAUGUUCAGUGUUACUAGUUUAAAGAAUAUAGUUGUAUAUUGAGAAACAAGGAAAAUAGCAAGAGAUUAAGUAGAAAAACUAGAUACUAGAUAGCAAUCAGAUGUAACAAUAUUUGCUAUGCCCUGAGGAAGGAGUUGAACUUAAUUCCCAGCGUGGUAGGGGAGAACUACAAAACUUUUCAGCAGUGGCAUGUCUAGAACUACGCACAAUACUAGCACACGUGUCAGCACCAUAGUCCCAACCUGUUCGUAGCCUAGAGUCUGGCACUCUUGCCAGGCUGGUUGUUGACUACCGUGAGGCUACUGCUGGGUGUGGCAUUUUGAUACCUGAAGAACAAUAUUUACAGCGAGGUAAAGAUUAUGGUGCCAUGCUGGUUGUUGGAGACCAACAAGCUACUGGAUUGGAAAGGACCCCUGCAAGCCAGAGGCAUGUCGGGAAAAGGAAGCAUAAGGAGAAGUAUAUACGGAUAAGCACACUCUUAUUGCCCCCUCCAUUCACACACACUACUUGUUGAGCCACACAACACCGUAAGUAUACCAAUUGCUUUUUAGAACCAUUUUUCAGGUUUCUGUUGCUUCUGCUGAGCUUCUCUUCUCCGAUUACCCUAUUUGAGGCAAUGAAAACCCGUUCAGAUUCACCUUUCUCCUUUUAUAAACACCAAAGCCAACUUACACAACCUGUCUUCUGUGCACCAUUGUAUUAUUUAUACAUCUAUUUAGCAGCACACUUUCCAGCUUCUAUACACUGUAUACCCUCACCCCAGGCAGUAGUGAGUAAUGAGCUCUAAAAUGCAUGAACCUGCUAUUAUUUUGGGAUCCCUCUUCCCACCACGCAAACUUUCUGACAUGUUGAAGGUAUUCAGGAAAAUGUGUCCCCUGCUUGACUCCCAGCUUCCAAACUAGACAUCUAAUAUCUUAAUAUCUCAUACAUUUCCUUGCCUUUCUCCAAUUUUCUAUCUUCAAUCAGAGUUUGUGUUAUAUGAAAGAAAAAUAGUUUCAUGAAAAGGGCAUCUUGCAAAGGUACAGAACCUCCCCAGCAGGCAGUUGCCAUGGAAGGCUGCUUCCAGAGUGAGGCCAGCUUAAGAAGGAUCCGGUGGCCUUGUCCUCACUGGUGUAACGCAGACACUUGGACUGAGCAGUGACAAUGGAGCAAAGGCGCCUCUAAGUUUCCCUGGUGGCUGCCGCAUUCAUCCGGGUGCUCUGGACCAUGCAGUCACUUUGGUGGGAACUGGCUGGGUGGCUCCGUGUGCCUUGUACCAACUUGACUGCUUGGGUGCUUUGCUUCUUGCAAUCCCACCAGCGAGUAUCAGCAUCCAAGGAUUCCAUCCACUGGCUCCAGGUUCUCUUAAGCCUCCAGAGAAAAGGAUUCAGAGUCAUAAAGAACAUUUGAGAUUAACCUGGUCCCUGAGCUACAAGCACACAUUGAGGGCUGCCAACACCAAUAAAGUCACAUUAAACUCCCAACCACAGGAGAAAUUCUCACAUGCAGCUUCCAUUCAUUAGCCUGGAGACUUAGCUGUAGAGUUGAUUUCAUGUUCCAAGAGAAGAGGCUUCUAUGAAAUGCCUGACAUAAGUCAUCCUUGUUAGGAAUUAGCACAGUGACCCACGUGGUGGAUCUGGACAUUUGGGUUAGCAUUAGAGUGAUGGAUUUAUUUUGCCCCGCUGGUACCCCUCACCCCUGCUCCCAAAAGCUUCCAUCUUCCAAAGAUGCAUAGACAGUAGACUGCUCCUCACCACAAGAGUUUUGGUCUAGAGCUGCUGCUAUCUGCCGAACAAGGUCCUCUUUUGUUUGUGUUGGAAUUUGGCUACAUGAAUGCCCUCUUGAUUCUUGAUUUUUAAAACGUGUUGUUUAGAUAAAAAUGAGUGGUAAAAAGGACUUUUGAAAUAAAAAUGGAUUGGAUUGCAUCUUUUCAGUGCCUAGUGAUAAAAAGAUAAUUUUGUAUGUAAUGUAAAAAGCAUCUACUUCAUACAUGCCAGCACAGUGAGGCUGAAAUUGAACUUAAACUCCCUACCACAUCUUCCUCCCCAGCACACACACAUACACACACAGAGAAAGAGUACUUAUAGGGCUUUAGGCAAGAGAAC